rnacentral:lncRNA from 1 species
CGCUAAGAAUUUCUAGCUACCUUGCCAAUGGAAAUAUGUUGCUGGCAAUCGGUAAGCCUCCCCAGAUCUGCUCAAGGGGUCAUAACUGUAACAAUAUAAGCAAAUAGAUCAUCACCGUAUUUAUUUCUGCAUUUUUUUUCUCUUUCUUUCCUCUCCUCCUCUCUCAUUUUCCCCUCUUACUCCGCUCCCCUUCUCCCCCAUCCCUCCUCCUUGCUCACUCCUCCAUUAGUGUUUAGAAGAUUUCACAGUUUUCUCCCAACCCUGGAAAGAAUGUAAGUCGAUGCUGCUGAUUGCCUUUGAAAACAUUUGGAACAAAUUAUCUCUACUUUUGGAAUCUGAAUAAAGGAAUGUGAGCCUCACUGGAGAAAUAUGAAAUACAGGGUGGGAUUCACAGAAGAAAACUUGCCUCAGUUUCCCUGCCAGCAAGGUGCUGCCACACUGUGGUGCUGUGGAGUUUCCAUCAGCAAAACAAUGAAGAUCUCCAAGGGAAAGGUGUUAUGUUAAUUCAGGGAGCUCAGAUUUAUCCAUGCUAAAAAGCUGAUGUGGCUAUUUACAAUCUGGUAAGCAAAACUAAAAUAGAGAGCUCUGAAGAUCAAAUAAACCUUAAAAAAUGCAGAUG